GGCACUGUGGCCGAGUGGCAAGGCAGAGGUCUGCAAAACCUUUUACAGUGGUUCAAAUCCACUCAGUGCCUC
rnacentral:tRNA from 1 species